rnacentral:rRNA from 1 species
AUUGAACGCUGGCGGCAGGCCUAACACAUGCACGUCGAGCGUGCGGCGGGCGGGUGAGUAAUGUAUGGGGUCAGCCGGCCAGAGGGGGGUAACUACUGGACACGGAAGCUACUAACGCAUACUAUCGAAUAAUCUAUAUGGGAUUAGCUAGUAGGUGAGUUAAUGGCUCACAAAGGAGACGAACCUUAGCUGGUCGGAGAGGAUGGUCAGCCACACUGGAACUUAGACACGGCCCAGACUCCUACGGAGGCAGCAGUGGGGAAUAUUGCACAAUGGGGGAAAGCCUGAUGCAGCCAUGCGGCGUGUAGGAAGAGGGCCCUAGGGUUGUAAAGUACUUUCAGACGGGAGGCGUUACCGGCAGAAGAAGCACCGGCUAACUCCGUGCCAGCAGCCGCGGUAAUAC